AUAAUGAGCAAUGGCAUUAGCACGACAAGAAGAGGAAGGGAAAGAGAAAAGAGAAAACUGAAAAAGAAAUUGCACUCUAAAUAAAACACACAUUCAUAUUAUUAAUAUAUUAGUAUUAAAAAAAGGAAAGGAAAUUGAAAAAAAGACGAUAGAGGGAGCAAAAAGAAAUCGAUAGACGCUGCGAACAAUCCGACCCCAAACCCCGACAACUGUUAUGGCGCUGGAUUUCUCUGAAGCAACUUGCCUAAGAGAGUAAGAGUUCGAUUUGCAUUAUAUAGCAUGCAAAUUGGUGGAGUCGGAUUCAUUUUUGGCAUCUGAGAAAACUGUAAAUUGGGGUGGAAACAGGUCUCAGUGGUUUUAUAGUUCUGUGAAUGGUUUAGAAAUCUGCUUAUUGAGCAAUGCAACCACAGCAGGGCUCCAGAAUCAAUUUAGGCCAAUUAAAAGCUCAGAUAUUGAAGAAGAUUGGGGCUGAGAGGUCAAAAAGAUAUUUUUAUAAUUUGAGUAGGUUUUUGAGCCAGAAGCUUGGUAAAAGUGAGUUCGAUAAGUCAUGUUACCGCAUUCUGGGAAGGGAGAAUCUGCUACUGCAUAACCAGUUGAUACGCGCAAUAUUGAAAAAUGCAUGUCAGGCCAAGACUCCACCACCAGUUCAUGAAGCAGGUCCUGCUAGAUCUUCGAUACGAAAUGCUGAAAGUUAUGCUGGUAGAGAUGAUGGGCAUGAGCCAAUUGGAUCCCUUGUACCCAACCAGAAUUCAAACAUGACCAUUUCUUCGAAUGGGGUUUUGUCAAUGUCAUCCCUACGAAAGGUUAUAUCUGGAAUACAGGAUAGAAAGCUCAGGGAUCGGCCCAGCCCGCUGGGGCCAAAUGGAAAGGUUGAGAGUUUCUCACAUCAAUCCAUGGGUACUGAAGACAAUGGCAAUAAAUUGGGUCUAGAAAAUGGGGAUUUGACACCAUAUUACUAUCAGAGACCAUUACAGCAUCCUCAAACAGUUGCCGAGCAGCCUGAAAUUGAAAGAGAAGGUUUGGGGCGUUCCACAGGAAAACCAAGGGUGCUUAUCAAAGGUUUAACUGAAGGAGCUGUUGUUGAAGAUGGGGAGGGGGUGGAGCAAGCCAACCAUGUUGAUUUCUCUAGAAAUCCUUUGCUUGCACCUCUUGGGAUUCCAUUUUGCUCAGCUAGUGUUGGUGGCGCCCACAAAGCUCUGCCAGUGGCAAUCAGUGGCGACUUCAUUAGCUACUAUGACAGUGGUAGUUUGUAUGAUAAUGAGUCAUUGAAGAAACGUAUGGAACAGAUCGCAGCAGCGCAGGGCCUUGAAGGUGUUUCAUGGGAAUGUGCUAGUAUGUUGAACAACAUGUUGGAUGUAUACUUGAAGAGACUGAUUAGAUCAUGUGUCAAUCUGGUGGGUUCAAGAUCUACACGUGAAUUAAGGAAGCACAUUGCCCACAUGCAACAGCCUCAAAGCAAGCUUGUUAAUGGUUUUUGGCCAAGUAGUCACUUGCAUAUGCAGAGUAUUUCUGGGCCUACAGAAGGUUUACAGGAAAAGCGGCUGGGGUGCUCGAUUUCUUUGCUUGAUUUCAAAGUUGCAAUGGAGCUAAAUCCCCAUCAACUGGGUGAAGAUUGGUCAUUGCUGCUGGAAAAAAUAUGUAUGCAUUCAUUUGAAGAAUGAACGCUCAACAAAAAAUUGUUUAUCAUGAAGCUGUUAGAAGGAUAUGUUCAUCCUGGUUCAAUGUGCUCGACAAAUGUUGAAGCUGCCUGUUCGUUUACAUUUACUGACAUGAACCAGAUUGUUCCCAGUCAGAUAAAGCUCUGGCCCUCGCAAGAUUAAAUUAUGGGUUUGAGUUUUGGGAUGCCUAUACCCUUGCUGCAGAGCUGGGACUGAUCAGAUUAUUAUUUUUGAGCAACUGAGCUAAAGUGCUGAAAAAGGAAGUGCUUACAACUCGUUGCUCUGUUGUACAAUUAGCAUGUUGUUGGCUGUCUUCUACAGAUCUCAAUCUUUUCUUGUAAUUUACAGCCAUUGAGGUGGAAGUCUGAGAAAGUUUUGCAGAGGCACUGCCUUGUAGCUUGGUGAAAGGUACCAUAGUGUAGAUGGGUAACAACACUUUGUUUUCUGCGAUCAGCAUUAACGUUGUUAGCCAUUUCUGCUAUCCGUGCCAUGCAGCAGAUAUGCAGAGUUUCAGUUGUUGAACCAGUGACUGGUGUUUCUCAUAUCGUGAAAACACCUGAAAAGUAUGUAAUUUGUGCUUGCUGAUGGUUGCAGAUGAUUGUGAAGAACUUAUGAUGGACUAUAUGAAAUACCAAAUCUCCAACUGUGAAGGCGGAUCGUUAGAUGCAAUGCUUGUGAAGACCAAUUUAAUUUGCUAUGUUGUAUAUAUGGGAAACAUUGGGCAGUGGCAUGGUUAACCAAGAAAUCUAGCGCAUUCUGAUUGCUACAACCACAAAUGUUCAAAAAGAUAUUUUGUUUUACUAGCAAUCAAGGAAAGUAUAUAAACGAAAACUAAAUGAGCCUAACUGAUUGCUAUUUUCAUUCACAUUUCUUUUGAA